rnacentral:rRNA from 1 species
UGGGGAAUAUUGCACAAUGGGGGAAACCCUGAUGCAGCGACGCCGCGUGAGUGAAGAAGUAUUUCGGUAUGUAAAGCUCUAUCAGCAGGGAAGAAAAUGACGGUACCUGACUAAGAAGCCCCGGCUAACUACGUGCCAGCAGCCGCGGUAAUACGUAGGGGGCAAGCGUUAUCCGGAUUUACUGGGUGUAAAGGGAGCGUAGACGGCAGAGCAAGUCUGAAGUGAAAGCCCGCGGCCCAACUGCGGGACUGCUUUGGAAACUGCCCGGCUAGAGUGCUGGAGAGGUAAGCGGAAUUCCUAGUG